AGUCAUAUGCUUGUCUCAAAGAUUAAGCCAUGCAUGUCUCAGUACAAGCCAAAUUAAGGUGAAACCGCGAAAGGCUCAUUAAAUCAGUUAUGGUUCCUUAGAUCGUACCCACAUUUACUUGGAUAACUGUGGUAAUUCUAGAGCUAAUACAUGCAAACAGAGCUCCGACCGGAGACGGAAGGAGCGCUUUUAUUAGAUCAAAACCAAUCGGCGGCGGGUUCGCUCGUCGUCGUACAACUUGGUGAAUCUGAAUAACUUUCUGCUGAUCGCAUGGUCUCGCACCGGCGACGCAUCUUUCAAAUGUCUGCCUUAUCAACUGUCGAUGGUAGGUUCUGCGCCUACCAUGGUUGUAACGGGUAACGGGGAAUCAGGGUUCGAUUCCGGAGAGGGAGCCUGAGAAACGGCUACCACAUCCAAGGAAGGCAGCAGGCGCGCAAAUUACCCACUCCCGGCACGGGGAGGUAGUGACGAAAAAUAACGAUACGGGACUCAUCCGAGGCCCCGUAAUCGGAAUGAGUACACUCUAAACCCUUUAACGAGGAUCAAUUGGAGGGCAAGUCUGGUGCCAGCAGCCGCGGUAAUUCCAGCUCCAAUAGCGUAU
rnacentral:rRNA from 2 species